CAGCAGCCGCGGUAAUACCGGCGGCCCGAGUGGCGGUCACUAUUAUUGGGCUUAAAGCGUCCGUAGCCGGGUUGGGAAGUCCUCCGGGAAAUCUGGCCGCUUAACGGUCAGAAUGCCGGAGGAUACUCCCAGCCUAGGGAGCGGGCGAGGCCGAGGGUAUUCCCGGAGUAGGGGGGAAAUCCUAUAAUCCCGGGAGGACCACCUGUGGCGAAGGCGCUCGGCUGGAACGCGUCCGACGGUGAGGGACGAAGGCCAGGGGAGCAAACCGGAUUAGAUACCCGGGUAGUCCUGGCUGUAAACGAUGCGGACUUUGUGUCGGACAAGCUAUGAGCUUGUCCGGUGCCGGAGGGAAACCGUUAAGUCCGCCGCCUGGGGAGUACGGCCGCAAGGCUGAAACUUAAAGGAAUUGGCGGG
rnacentral:rRNA from 1 species